rnacentral:rRNA from 1 species
UGGGGAAUCUUGCACAAUGGAGGAAACUCUGAUGCAGCGACGCCGCGUGAGCGAAGAAGCCUUUCGGGGUGUAAAGCUCUUACGCCAGGGACGAUAAUGACGGUACCUGGAGAAGCAGCUGCGGCUAACUACGUGCCAGCAGCCGCGGUAAUACGUAGGCAGCAAGCGUUGUUCGGAAUUACUGGGCGUAAAGGGUGCGUAGGCGGCGCUCUAAGUUUGGUGUGAAAUCUCCCGGCUUAACUGGGAGGGUGCACUGAAAACUGGGGCGCUCGAGUAUGGGAGAGGAGAGCGGAAUUCCUGGUGUAGCGGUGAAAUGCGUAGAGAUCAGGAGGAACACCUGCGGUGCAGACGGCUUUCUGGACCAUCACUGACGCUGAGGCACGAAAGCGUGGGUAGCAAACA